UUAAGCGACUAAGCGUACACGGUGGAUGCCCUGGCAGUCAGAGGCGAUGAAGGACGUGCUAAUCUGCGAAAAGCGUCGGUAAGGUGAUAUGAACCGUUACAGCCGGCGAUGUCCGAAUGGGGAAACCCAGUGCAAUUCGUUGCACUAUCGUUAACUGAAUACAUAGGUUAACGAGGCGAACCGGGGGAACUGAAACAUCUAAGUACCCCGAGGAAAAGAAAUCAACCGAGAUUCCCCCAGUAGCGGCGAGCGAACGGGGAGCAGCCCGGAGUCUGAAUCAGCUUGUGUGUUAGUGGAAGCGUCUGGAAAGUCGCAGGGUACAGGGUGAUACUCCCGUACACUAAAACACACAGGUUGUGAACUCGAAGAGUAGGGCGGGACACGUGGUAUCCUGUCUGAAUAUGGGGGGACCAUCCUCCAAGGCUAAAUACUCCUGACUGACCGAUAGUGAACCAGUACCGUGAGGGAAAGGCGAAAAGAACCCCGGCGAGGGGAGUGAAAAAGAACCUGAAACCGUGUACGUACAAGCAGUAGGAGCCCACUGGGUUGGGUGACUGCGUACCUUUUGUAUAAUGGGUCAGCGACUUAUAUUCUGUAGCAAGGUUAACCGUAUAGGGGAGCCGCAGGGAAACCGAGUCUUAACUGGGCGUUAAGUUGCAGGGUAUAGACCCGAAACCCGGUGAUCUAGCCAUGGGCAGGUUGAAGGUUGGGUAACACUAACUGGAGGACCGAACCGACUAAUGUUGAAAAAUUAGCGGAUGACUUGUGGCUGGGGGUGAAAGGCCAAUCAAACCGGGAGAUAGCUGGUUCUCCCCGAAAGCUAUUUAGGUAGCGCCUCGUGAACUCAUCUUCGGGGGUAGAGCACUGUUUCGGCUAGGGGGUCAUCCCGACUUACCAACCCGAUGCAAACUACGAAUACCGAAGAAUGUUAUCACGGGAGACACACGGCGGGUGCUAACGUCCGUCGUGAAGAGGGAAACAACCCAGACCGCCAGCUAAGGUCCCAAAGUCAUGGUUAAGUGGGAAACGAUGUGGGAAGGCCCAGACAGCCAGGAUGUUGGCUUAGAAGCAGCCAUCAUUUAAAGAAAGCGUAAUAGCUCACUGGUCGAGUCGGCCUGCGCGGAAGAUGUAACGGGGCUAAACCAUGCACCGAAGCUGCGGCAGCGACACUAUGUGUUGUUGGGUAGGGGAGCGUUCUGUAAGCCGUUGAAGGUGGCCUGUGAGGGUUGCUGGAGGUAUCAGAAGUGCGAAUGCUGACAUAAGUAACGAUAAUGCGGGUGAAAAACCCGCACGCCGGAAGACCAAGGGUUCCUGUCCAACGUUAAUCGGGGCAGGGUGAGUCGACCCCUAAGGCGAGGCCGAAAGGCGUAGUCGAUGGGAAACAGGUUAAUAUUCCUGUACUCGGUGUUACUGCGAAGGGGGGACGGAGAAGGCUAUGUUGGCCGGGCGACGGUUGUCCCGGUUUAAGCAUGUAGGCGGAUGUUCCAGGUAAAUCCGGAACGUCACUAACGCUGAGGUGUGAUGACGAGGCACUACGGUGCUGAAGUGACAAAUGCCCUGCUUCCAGGAAAAGCCUCUAAGCAUCAGGUAACAUCAAAUCGUACCCCAAACCGACACAGGUGGUCAGGUAGAGAAUACCAAGGCGCUUGAGAGAACUCGGGUGAAGGAACUAGGCAAAAUGGUGCCGUAACUUCGGGAGAAGGCACGCUGAUGGUAAGUGAAGCGACUUGCUCGUGGAGCUGAAAUCAGUCGAAGAUACCAGCUGGCUGCAACUGUUUAUUAAAAACACAGCACUGUGCAAACACGAAAGUGGACGUAUACGGUGUGACGCCUGCCCGGUGCCGGAAGGUUAAUUGAUGGGGUUAUCCUCGCGGAGAAGCUCUUGAUCGAAGCCCCGGUAAACGGCGGCCGUAACUAUAACGGUCCUAAGGUAGCGAAAUUCCUUGUCGGGUAAGUUCCGACCUGCACGAAUGGCGUAAUGAUGGCCAGGCUGUCUCCACCCGAGACUCAGUGAAAUUGAACUCGCUGUGAAGAUGCAGUGUACCCGCGGCAAGACGGAAAGACCCCGUGAACCUUUACUAUAGCUUGACACUGAACACUGGUCCUUGAUGUGUAGGAUAGGUGGGAGGCUUUGAAGUGUGGACGCCAGUCUGCAUGGAGCCAUCCUUGAAAUACCACCCUUUAAUGGCUGGUGUUCUAACGUGGGCCCGUAAUCCGGGUUGCGGACAGUGUCUGGUGGGUAGUUUGACUGGGGCGGUCUCCUCCUAAAGAGUAACGGAGGAGCACGAAGGUCAGCUAAUCCUGGUCGGACAUCAGGAGGUUAGUGCAAUGGCAUAAGCUGGCUUGACUGCGAGCGUGACGGCGCGAGCAGGUGCGAAAGCAGGUCAUAGUGAUCCGGUGGUUCUGAAUGGAAGGGCCAUCGCUCAACGGAUAAAAGGUACUCCGGGGAUAACAGGCUGAUACCGCCCAAGAGUUCAUAUCGACGGCGGUGUUUGGCACCUCGAUGUCGGCUCAUCACAUCCUGGGGCUGAAGUAGGUCCCAAGGGUAUGGCUGUUCGCCAUUUAAAGUGGUACGCGAGCUGGGUUUAGAACGUCGUGAGACAGUUCGGUCCCUAUCUGCCGUGGGCGCUGGAGAAUUGAGGGGGGCUGCUCCUAGUACGAGAGGACCGGAGUGGACGCAUCACUGGUGUUCGGGUUGUCAUGCCAAUGGCAUUGCCCGGUAGCUAAAUGCGGAAGAGAUAAGUGCUGAAAGCAUCUAAGCACGAAACUUGCCCCGAGAUGAGUUCUCCCUGACUCCUUGAGAGUCCUGAAGGAACGUUGAAGACGACGACGUUGAUAGGCCGGGUGUGUAAGCGCAGCGAUGCGUUGAGCUAACCGGUACUAAUGAACCGUGAGGCUUAACCUU
rnacentral:rRNA from 1 species